rnacentral:rRNA from 1 species
CUACGGGGCGCUGCAGUGGGGAAUAUUGCACAAUGGGCGCAAGCCUGAUGCAGCCAUGCCGCGUGUAUGAAGAAGGCCUUCGGGUUGUAAAGUACUUUCAGCGGGGAGGAAGGGAGUAAAGUUAAUACCUUUGCUCAUUGACGUUACCCGCAGAAGAAGCACCGGCUAAGUCCGUGCCAGCAGCCGCGGUAAUACGGAGGGUGCAAGCGUUAAUCGGAAUUACUGGGCGUAAAGCGCACGCAGGCGGUUUGUUAAGUCAGAUGUGAAAUCCCCGGGCUCGACCUGGGAACUGCAUCUGAUACUGGCAAGCUUGAGUCUCGUAGAGGGGGGUAGAAUUCCAGGUGUAGCGGUGAAAUGCGUAGAGAUCUGGAGGAAUACCGGUGGCGAAGGCGGCCCCCUGGACGAAGACUGACGCUCAGGUGCGAAAGCGUGGGGAGCAAACAGGAUUAGAUACCCGAGUAGUC